rnacentral:rRNA from 1 species
UACGGGGGGGGCAAGCGUUGUUCGGAAUUACUGGGCGUAAAGGGCGCGUAGGCGGCAUGGCAAGUCGGGAGUGAAAGGCCUGGGCUCAACCGAGGAACUGCUUUCGAGACUGCCAAGCUAGAGUGCGGAAGGGGCAUCUGGAAUUCCCAGUGUAGCGGUGAAAUGCGUAGAUAUUGGGAAGAACACCGGUGGCGAAGGCGGCCAGCUGGCGCUGACCUGACGCUGAGGCGCGAAGGCGUGGGGAGCGAACGGG